GGGUGGAGUCCUUAGCCUGAGGAGCCUGCUGUUGCGGAACGAGGACAAAGGGUGGUGUGACGUUGUCGCUUUCAGACCUGUGCCGGGAAGGGCUUCAUGGUUGAGGGAUCAGCGUGGGCAAAGGAUCUAAAGUGGGAAAGAAUUCAAUCUAUUCGAGCAACUAACGAAAGGCCAGUGUGGCCAAAGAAAUUUAGGGGUGGAGAAAAAUGUGGAAUGAGAAGAAGUUGGAGAGGAGUCAGAAUCCAGAUCACUCAGGUCAACAUCGUCUUUCCUUCCAUCUUAUUUGAAACAUCUAAUUCUUCCCUUGCUGAUGAGCAUGACCUCUGGAGAUCAAGUAGGAGGUUCCUGAAGAAAGGGCACAUCUCUGGAAUAUAUUUCUUUUUUUUUUAAUUUUCUUAUUGUUAUGUUAAUCACAAUACAUUACAUCAUUAGUUUUGGAUGCAGUGUUCCAUGAUUCAUUGUUUGUGCAUAACACCCAGUGCUCCACGCAGAACGUGCCCUCUUUAAUACCCAUCACCAGGCUAACCCUUCCCCCCACCCAUGAGGUGUCUGUUUCAACAGUAAAACAAUUUUUUUAAAUACUUGAAUUGUCAAAACUAAGGACUGGCAGAAAACACACAUGGAAUGAGGACAGAAUUCCCAUGACCAAUAGUGAAAAUAAAGUGUUGAGAAGGUGUACCAAGUCACGCUUUGCCUCUCUGCAUCUUCAGUCUUCCCUUCAAAGAGCAAAAACCAUGUACAGUAUAAGAAAAUACCUCCUCGGGACGCCUGGGUGGCUCAGUUGGUUAAGCGACUACCUUCGGCGCAGGUCAUGAUCCUGGAGUUCCAGGAUCGAGUCCCGCAUCGGGCU